GCCCCUGUUGAGGUGGCUAAUGUUACUCACUGGACAGCCACUCGUUCAUAGAACAUCAGCUUGCGAAUAACUAUUUAUUUUCUUCUUAUGUCGACAACAACUGUAAAGUUUAGUCAUAGCGUGGUGCUCGGUACCUUGAUGUGCAAACUACAAGCAAGCACAGCCUGUUGGGAUUCUGAUCACAUCAACAUCUGCAGCGACAUCAACAUCAAGCUCAGCACCAGGAACUAGUGUAAGUCACCUUUGCUAAAUCUUUCAAUGACUCCAUGAUGAGCAAAAAAAUAUACUGUAUAAAUAUAUAUAAUUAAAUAUAAUAUAAAUAUACAUACAUGCACAUUUGUGGCCUGCUGGAGGUCAUUUUGCAGGGCUCUGGCAGUGCUCCUCCUUGCACAAAGGCGGAGGUAGCGGUCCUGCUGCUGGGUUGUUGCCCUCCUACGGCCUCCACGUCUCCUGAUGUACUGGCCUGUCUCCUGGUAGCGCCUCCAUGCUCUGGACACUACGCUGACAGACACAGCAAACCUUCUUGCCACAGCUCGCAUUGAUGUGCCAUCCUGGAUGAGCUGCACUACCUGAGCCACUUGUGUGGGUUGUAGACUCCGUCUCAUGCUACCACUAGAGUGAGAGCACCGCCAGCAUUCAAAAGUGACCAAAACAUCAGCCAGGAAGCAUAGGAACUGAGAAGUGGUCUGUGGUCACCACCUGCAGAACCACUCCUUUAUUGGGGGUGUCUUGCUAAUUGCCUAUAAUUUCCACCUUUUGUCUAUUCCAUUUGCACAACAGCAUGUGAAAUUUAUUGUCAAUCAGUGUUGCUUCCUAAGUGGACAGUUUGAUUUCACAGAAGUGUGAUUGACUUGGAGUUACAUUGUGUUGUUUAAGUGUUCCCUUUAUUUUUUUGAGCAGUGUAUAUUCACUGAGGAGAAUGGUCCUCACCUUCCUCCUCUCAGGAGCCUCCACUGAUGUUGCAUCCCCGCAUAUUUGACGUACUUCAAGUUCUCAAUGGUGUUACUGCUUUGCCUCCAGGCAUUGCUGACUUCUACCAGGGAGUUCUGGAUGUCCUUCACAUCCCCCAGAGCAUUGUGGAGCUGACGGAGGCCUGAAUGGACCCCUUUUAACUGGGAGUGGAUUGCAGCCUGGAGAGUGGGGACAAACAGUUGUAAAUUAUUUAGAUAUGGUUUUUAAUUAAUCAAAGGGCAGUACAGAUUCACAGUAUGCACCCAAUGUUAAAGCUAAACAAAUAAUUUUCUAAAUUCAGUCGUGCUUCUACUAAAACUCCAGAUCUAACUGGGUGAUCAAUAAAUCAUGGGAUUUAUGUCAGUUGCUAGGUCUUAGCAGGUGAAUGAUUCAUUUUCUAAUGAUUACGCUAGCUAGCUAUGGCUCCAUACAGAAUCAAGCUAGCUAGCUAACUUAAAAAUAGCUUGCAAAAUAACUUUAGCUAAUCGAUUUCGGUAUCUACCAUCAUCCAUCAACGAAAACCACAUAUUUUAAUCUUCUUCUGUGGUUUGGUAACGUUUGGACUCUGGCUAGACUGAAGACAACGCAAAGUUUGGAAAAUGUCAAAUUAUACAAUGUCCUUCUUGCAACGGAGCCUUCAACCGCAAGGGGGUGUUGUAAAUCCACUCCAUUGUGGACGUCCCCAUUGAAAUGCAUGACAUCCAGCGCAACGUAAUGGAGUGCUUAUGGGUACUGUGAACGAGGCAUAAUGGUUACCUUAUGGACGCUGUAGCCUUGUUUUACUCCGAUGUGUAGAAUUUGAGCUAGGUUCGACCCAAAAAUUGUCUGACAACCCGCUAGAUACAAUGGUUACAAUGGUAUCUUCAACCUAGCCUACCGUUUAGCUAGCUGCUCUGCAGUGCAAGCUAGCUUGACUCGCUAUAAAGUUAGAGAUACAAGUUGAGGAUUUUUCUUUCGAACGAAUAUGUUUAUUAUCACCUGAAACAAUAUAUUUAUCUGGUCUUUCAAUGAAAAGGUCAUAUUUUACAAUCUCCCAAAAUAAAUGUGAUCUCUUGUGUUACAAACACUA